GUGGGGAAUCUUGCGCAAUGGGCGAAAGCCUGACGCAGCCAUGCCGCGUGAAUGAUGAAGGUCUUAGGAUUGUAAAAUUCUUUCACCGGGGACGAUAAUGACGGUACCCGGAGAAGAAGCUCCGGCUAACUUCGUGCCAGCAGCCGCGGUAAUACGAAGGGGGCUAGCGUUGCUCGGAAUUACUGGGCGUAAAGGGCGCGUAGGCGGACAGCUUAGUCAGAGGUGAAAGCCCAGGGCUCAACCUUGGAAUUGCCUUUGAUACUGGCUGUCUUGAGUUUGGGAGAGGUGAGUGGAACUCCGAGUGUAGAGGUGAAAUUCGUAGAUAUUCGGAAGAACACCAGUGGCGAAGGCGACUCACUGGCCCAAUACUGACGCUGAGGCGCGAAAGCGUGUGGAGCAAACAGGAUUAGAUACCCUAGUAGUCC
rnacentral:rRNA from 1 species